rnacentral:rRNA from 1 species
UGAGUAACCUGCCCUUAACUCUGGGAUAAGCCUGGGAAACUGGGUCUAAUACCGGAUAUGACUCCUCAUCGCAUGGUGGGGGGUGGAAAGCUUUAUUGUGGUUUUGGAUGGACUCGCGGCCUAUCAGCUUGUUGGUGAGGUAAUGGCUCACCAAGGCGACGACGGGUAGCCGGCCUGAGAGGGUGACCGGCCACACUGGGACUGAGACAGGCCCAGACUCCGUACGGGAGCAG